rnacentral:rRNA from 1 species
GCCAGCAGCCGCGGUAAUACGUAGGUGGCAAGCGUUAUCCGGAAUUAUUGGGCGUAAAGCGCGCGUAGGCGGUUUUUUAAGUCUGAUGUGAAAGCCCACGGCUCAACCGUGGAGGGUCAUUGGAAACUGGAAAACUUGAGUGCAGAAGAGGAAAGUGGAAUUCCAUGUGUAGCGGUGAAAUGCGCAGAGAUAUGGAGGAACACCAGUGGCGAAGGCGACUUUCUGGUCUGUAACUGACGCUGAUGUGCGAAAGCGUGGGGAUCAAACAGGAGUAGAUACCCUGGUAGUCCACGCCGUAAACGAUGAGUGCUAAGUGUUAGGGGG